GUGAAUCAUCGAAUUUUUGAACGCAAAUUGCACUCUCUGGUAUUCCGGAGAGUAUGCCUGUUUGAGCGUAAUUUAAAAGAAUCUUUAACAAAUUUUUUGUUUCAAGGGAGAGGAGUUCUCCGCGUUUAUAGAGGAGUCUUGAGAUAAAUGGUCAAGUCUCAUUUGAGUCUAGACGUGUAAUAAUAUUAUUUAGCGAGAUUUUCAUU
rnacentral:misc_RNA from 1 species